rnacentral:rRNA from 1 species
GUUCGUUGUUUAGGGCGCAUGGUGGAUGCCUUGGCAUGCUGAGNCNAUCUAGCGACCUCCACGUGUAAGGCUGCGUUAAGCCUCGGGGAGUUGUCAAUAAAGCGUUGAUCCGAGGAUGUCCGAAUGGGGAAACCUGGCCCUGGUUAUGUGGGGUUACCCUUCAGUGAAUUCAUAGCUGUUGUGGGGGUUACGCGGGGAAGUGAAACAUCUCAGUACCCGUAGGAGGAGAAAAUAAUAAUGAUUCUGCUAGUAGUGGCGAACGAACGUGGAUGAGGCUAAACCGUGUGCAUGUGAUACCUGGUAGGGGUUGUGUGUGCGGUGUUGUGGGGCCUGAUUUUGUGUCAUCUACCAGUGGCACGCCCUGUGCAUUGUUGUUAGGUGAAGUGGUUUGGAAUGAUCUGCCGGAGUAGGUGAGAGUCCUGUAGCUGAAGAUGAUGNNGUGGNGGUNGNUNGNUGGUCCCGAGUAGCAACGGGCUCGUGGAAUCUGUUGUGAAUCUGCCGGGACCACCCGGUAAGCCUAAAUACUNAGUGUGACCGAUAGNGGAUAGUACCGUGAGGGAAUGGUGAAAAGUACCCCGGGAGGGGAGUGAAAUAGUUCCUGAAACCAUGUGCUUACAAUCCGUCAGAGCACNUUUUNUUGUGUGAUGGCGUGCCUUUUGAAGAAUGAGCCUGCGAGUCAGCGGCAUGUCGCGAGGUUAACCCGUUGUGUGGGGUAGCCGUAGGGAAACCGAAUCCUAAUGAGGGUGUGUNAGUGGCAUGUCCUGGACCCGAAGCGGGGUGAUCUACCCAUGGCCAGUGUGAAGCAGCUGUAAGAGGUUGUGGAGGCGCGAACCCACNUAGGUUGAAAACUGNGGGGAUGAGNUGUGGGUAGGGGUGAAAGGCCAAUCAAACUCCGUGAUAGCUGGUUCUCCCCGAAAUGCAUUUAGGUGCAGCGUCGUAGGUUAGCUUGGUGGAGGUAGAGCNACUGNUUGGUUGAGCGGGACUAUCAAUCUUAGCAAUGUCAGCCAAACUCCGAAUGCCAUCAAUUGUGUUGUGCGGCAGUGAGACUGUGGGGGAUAAGCUUCAUAGUCGAGAGGGAAACAGCCCAGAUCNNCNGNUAAGGCCCCUAAGUGGUGUACUNAGUGGNAAAGGAUGUGGNAUCGCGAAGACAGCCAGGAGGUUGGCUUAGAAGCAGCCAUCCUUGAAAGAGUGCGUAAUAGCUCACUGGUCGAGUGGUUCUGCGCCGACAAUUCAGUGGGGCUCAAGUACACCGCCGAAGCCGCGGCACACUAUUUUUGUGUGGGUAGGGGAGCGUCGUGUAUGGGGUGAAGCAAUACUGUAAGGGGUUGUGGACUGUACACGAGUGAGAAUGCAGGCAUGAGUAACGAGUGAUAAGUGAGAAUCUUAUCCGCCGGAUGACUAAGGGUUCCUGGGUCAAGUUCGUCUUCCCAGGGUGAGUCGGGUCCUAAGGCGAGGCCGACAGGCGUAGUCGAUGGUUAACGGGUUGAUAUUCCCGUACCCGUGUAUAUGCGCCCAAGGGUGAAUCGGUGAUACUAACCACCCUGACCGCACCAUAUGAUGAUCCCUUCGGGGGUUGAUCGGUGGUGUGUGAUGCGUGGGGCCUAAACCGUAGUAGCCCAGUGAUGGGGUGACGCAGUGAGGUAGCCUAGCCACUUAUUGGAUUGUGGUGUAAGCGUGUGGCACGACGAUGAGUGAAAUGCUUGUUGUCACAAAGUGUGAGGCGUGAUGCGUAGCCCCUUAAGGGGUGAUGUAGGUGAUCCUGUACUGCCGAGAAAAGCCUCUAGCGAGUGUGUACACGGCCCGUACCCGAAACCGACACAGGUAGUCAGGUAGAGAAUACUAAGGCGGUCGGGUGAACUGUGGUUAAGGAACUCGGCAAAUUACCCCCGUAACUUCGGGAGAAGGGGGACCUCUACCGGUGCGCAGCUUUUACGGUUGUUGUGCUGGUGGGGGUCGCAGAGAAUAGAGGGGAGCGACUGUUUAUCAAAAACACAGGUCCGUGCGAAGACGUGAUGUUGAUGUAUACGGACUGACGCCUGCCCGGUGCUGGAAGGUUAAGAGGACCUGUUAGAACUUCGGUUCGAAGCGGAGAAUUUAAGCCCCAGUAAACGGCGGUGGUAACUAUAACCAUCCUAAGGUAGCGAAAUUCCUUGUCGGGUAAGUUCCGACCU